CUGUGAGCUCGAUGAGUAGGGCGGGACACGUGGUAUCCUGUCUGAAUAUGGGGGGACCAUCCUCCAAGGCUAAAUACUCCUGACUGACCGAUAGUGAACCAGUACCGUGAGGGAAAGGCGAAAAGAACCCCGGCGAGGGGAGUGAAAAAGAACCUGAAACCGUGUACGUACAAGCAGUGGGAGCACGCUUAGGCGUGUGACUGCGUACCUUUUGUAUAAUGGGUCAGCGACUUAUAUUCUGUAGCAAGGUUAACCGAAUAGGGGAGCCGAAGGGAAACCGAGUCUUAACUGGGCGUUAAGUUGCAGGGUAUAGACCCGAAACCCGGUGAUCUAGCCAUGGGCAGGUUGAAGGUUGGGUAACACUAACUGGAGGACCGAACCGACUAAUGUUGAAAAAUUAGCGGAUGACUUGUGGCUGGGGGUGAAAGGCCAAUCAAACCGGGAGAUAGCUGGUUCUCCCCGAAAGCUAUUUAGGUAGCGCCUCGUGAAUUCAUCUCCGGGGGUAGAGCACUGUUUCGGCAAGGGGGUCAUCCCGACUUACCAACCCGAUGCAAACUGCGAAUACCGGAGAAUGUUAUCACGGGAGACACACGGCGGGUGCUAACGUCCGUCGUGAAGAGGGAAACAACCCAGACCGCCAGCUAAGGUCCCAAAGUCAUGGUUAAGUGGGAAACGAUGUGGGAAGGCCCAGACAGCCAGGAUGUUGGCUUAGAAGCAGCCAUCAUUUAAAGAAAGCGUAAUAGCUCACUGGUCGAGUCGGCCUGCGCGGAAGAUGUAACGGGGCUAAACCAUGCACCGAAGCUGCGGCAGCGACGCUUAUGCGUUGUUGGGUAGGGGAGCGUUCUGUAAGCCUGUGAAGGUGUGCUGUGAGGCAUGCUGGAGGUAUCAGAAGUGCGAAUGCUGACAUAAGUAACGAUAAAGCGGGUGAAAAGCCCGCUCGCCGGAAGACCAAGGGUUCCUGUCCAACGUUAAUCGGGGCAGGGUGAGUCGACCCCUAAGGCGAGGCCGAAAGGCGUAGUCGAUGGGAAACAGGUUAAUAUUCCUGUACUUGGUGUUACUGCGAAGGGGGGACGGAGAAGGCUAUGUUGGCCGGGCGACGGUUGUCCCGGUUUAAGCGUGUAGGCUGGUUUUCCAGGCAAAUCCGGAAAAUCAAGGCUGAGGCGUGAUGACGAGGCACUACGGUGCUGAAGCAACAAAUGCCCUGCUUCCAGGAAAAGCCUCUAAGCAUCAGGUAACAUCAAAUCGUACCCCAAACCGACACAGGUGGUCAGGUAGAGAAUACCAAGGCGCUUGAGAGAACUCGGGUGAAGGAACUAGGCAAAAUGGUGCCGUAACUUCGGGAGAAGGCACGCUGAUAUGUAGGUGAAGUCCCUCGCGGAUGGAGCUGAAAUCAGUCGAAGAUACCAGCUGGCUGCAACUGUUUAUUAAAAACACAGCACUGUGCAAACACGAAAGUGGACGUAUACGGUGUGACGCCUGCCCGGUGCCGGAAGGUUAAUUGAUGGGGUCAGCGCAAGCGAAGCUCUUGAUCGAAGCCCCGGUAAACGGCGGCCGUAACUAUAACGGUCCUAAGGUAGCGAAAUUCCUUGUCGGGUAAGUUCCGACCUGCACGAAUGGCGUAAUGAUGGCCAGGCUGUCUCCACCCGAGACUCAGUGAAAUUGAACUCGCUGUGAAGAUGCAGUGUACCCGCGGCAAGACGGAAAGACCCCGUGAACCUUUACUAUAGCUUGACACUGAACAUUGAGCCUUGAUGUGUAGGAUAGGUGGGAGGCUUAGAAGUGUGGACGCCAGUCUGCAUGGAGCCGACCUUGAAAUACCACCCUUUAAUGUUUGAUGUUCUAACGUUGACCCGUAAUCCGGGUUGCGGACAGUGUCUGGUGGGUAGUUUGACUGGGGCGGUCUCCUCCUAAAGAGUAACGGAGGAGCACGAAGGUUGGCUAAUCCUGGUCGGACAUCAGGAGGUUAGUGCAAUGGCAUAAGCCAGCUUGACUGCGAGCGUGACGGCGCGAGCAGGUGCGAAAGCAGGUCAUAGUGAUCCGGUGGUUCUGAAUGGAAGGGCCAUCGCUCAACGGAUAAAAGGUACUCCGGGGAUAACAGGCUGAUACCGCCCAAGAGUUCAUAUCGACGGCGGUGUUUGGCACCUCGAUGUCGGCUCAUCACAUCCUGGGGCUGAAGUAGGUCCCAAGGGUAUGGCUGUUCGCCAUUUAAAGUGGUACGCGAGCUGGGUUUAGAACGUCGUGAGACAGUUCGGUCCCUAUCUGCCGUGGGCGCUGGAGAACUGAGGGGGGCUGCUCCUAGUACGAGAGGACCGGAGUGGACGCAUCACUGGUGUUCGGGUUGUCAUGCCAAUGGCACUGCCCGGUAGCUAAAUGCGGAAGAGAUAAGUGCUGAAAGCAUCUAAGCACGAAACUUGCCCCGAGAUGAGUUCUCCCUGACUCCUUGAGAGUCCUGAAGGAACGUUGAAGACGACGACGUUGAUAGGCCGGGUGUGUAAGCGCAGCGAUGCGUUGAGCUAACCGGUACUAAUGAACCGUGAGGCUUAACCUU
rnacentral:rRNA from 1 species